UCCUCCGUGGCGCAAUUGGCUAGCGCGUCUGACUGUUAUCGGUUCUCACCUCAGUUGAGUGAAGCAUCGGAGCGAUCAGGAGGUUGACAGUUCAAGCCUGUCCGGGGGAG